AACACUCAAAGCUCUUUCUCGGGACAAGCCGAGCAAUGGAAGGCCAAAGUAGCCUUCAGUUCUUCCAGCAGCUUUGGGAACAACUUGAAGGAGGAGCAGAGCUGGCCUGGUGCCUGCCGGCUCUGCAGGCAGUGGGCAUGGCGAAGCUGCAGCUGCAUCUGUCUUCUUGGCUGAGGCUUUAUAAAUGAGGCGCUUUUCUGUAGUUCCUUUUCAGGCAUGACGUGCAAGUUGCCCCUAGAAGUCCAAAGGCAGCUGUUUUCUUAGCAGAAGGAAGUCAGGAGGAGGCAAAGCCAGCAGCUAAGUCUGGAUAAAAAACUUGGCUAACCUCUUUUCCCCCCCUCCUCCAAACAGGCAAUUGUGAAGCACUCAGCAGAGAUCUGCCCGGGAGGAAAAGCAGAGCCAAUCUCUGAGAAGAAGGGACGUGCGAGCUCUGGCGAGGACGGCUGCUCCCCCUGGCCUUGGUGUGGGACCUCCUGAGCUGCCAUUCCUGUGGUGGGAGUGUUCCUCCUCUCCUCCGGCCAAGCCAGAGACCGCCUAGGGAAGGAGCAGAGUGCAGCCGCCCAAGAAGGGAUUUUUUUGGCUCAGCCAGAUGUGCUCCCGCCUCCCACCGAGACGCUGAGACGGAGCUGAGUUUGCCUUCCAAUGUCUUGGAACAGAGGUUCAUGGGAAGUUUUCUCAGCUAUCUAAGGCACGGAGCCCUGGAGCCAAGUCAGCCUGAGCUGCUGCGUGCUUGCUGUGAGCCUUGAGGGCAGGACAGCGUUCAGACUGAAAGUGUAAGAAGAUGUGGAGUGAGACAGAAUCUGACAGGAGCACCGGACUCACAAGUGCAUGAAUUUUGCUUUUUGCUUGGAUUCAAACUCGGAAGUUGUAAGGAAUUUGGGAAGGAGAAGGGACAUUUCAGAAGGAGAAGAAGAAAAAGAAGUUGUUGUUUUUACAGCCCUGGCAAAAUCUUUGGUUCUAGCUAAUAAAGGAAGCUAGUUGAAAUAAAAAAAAAGAAAAAAAUGGG